UGAAUGUAGUCCCAUUGACCUGGGAUUCCUGC
rnacentral:piRNA from 1 species